rnacentral:rRNA from 1 species
UACGUAGGGUGCGAGCGUUGUCCGGAAUUACUGGGCGUAAAGGGCGCGUAGGCGGCCACCGCAAGUCGACUGUGAAAUCUCCGGGCUUAACCCGGAAAGGUCAGCCGAUACUGCGGGGCUAGAGUGCAGAAGGGGCAACUGGAAUUCUCGGUGUAGCGGUGAAAUGCGUAGAUAUCGAGAGGAACACCUGCGGCGAAGGCGGGUUGCUGGGCUGACACUGACGCUGAGGCGCGAAAGCUAGGGGGAGCGAACGGG